UACGGAGGAUGCGAGCGUUAUCCGGAUUCAUUGGGUUUAAAGGGUGCGCAGGCGGACUUAUAAGUCAGUGGUGAAAUCCUACGGCUCAACCGUGGCACUGCCAUUGAUACUGUGAGUCUUGAGUAUAGUUGAAGUGGGCGGAAUGUAGCAUGUAGCGGUGAAAUGCAUAGAUAUGCUACAGAACACCGAUAGCGAAGGCAGCUCACUAAGUUAUAACUGACGCUCAUGCACGAAAGCGUGGGGAUCAAACAGG
rnacentral:rRNA from 1 species